UUAUUUGUGUUAGCAAGGUAGCCCUAUC
rnacentral:piRNA from 1 species